rnacentral:misc_RNA from 1 species
GAUCAUUACUGUUCUUAUAGCUCUGCGUGCGCUGUCUCUCGAGACCUGCGCUGCGGGCGAAAACCUUACCACACUUGUGUUUUUAUUGAAGACAACUUUGCUUUGGUCGAGACGGCGUAAAAACCGUAUCGGCCAGAGGAUUUAAACUCAAACCUAACUUUUUAUUCAUAUUUGUCAGAAUUUUAAUCUGUUAAUUCAGAUAACUAAUAUUCAAAACUUUCAACAACGGAUCUCUUGGUUCUCGCAUCGAUGAAGAACGCAGCGAAAUGCGAUAAGUAUUGUGAAUUGCAGAUUUUCGUGAAUCAUCGAAUCUUUGAACGCACAUUGCGCCCUGUAGUAUUCUACAGGGCAUGCCUGUUUGAGCGUCAUUUCUCUCUCAAAACCUCGGUUUUGGUUGUGAACGGUAAGCCCUUGUGGCUUUCGUUUGAAAUGAAUUGACCGGCUGGCUUUCAAUGGCUUGUUAUGUUUAUUCAAUGUAUUAGGUUCUUCCAACUCCGUUGAUUGACACGACAAAAUCCAGGAAAGAUUCGGCUUGUCGAACUUUUAUCAUAAAAGUUUGACCUCAAAUCAGGUAGGAUUACCCGCCUGAACUUUAAGCAUAUCCAUAAGCGGAGG